AAACAGUGGUAUCAAGGCAGCGUGUAUAAAGGCUCAGGCACAGACAGAUCCGACUGUCAACGCUCUAUCGUCUGCUGACAUCCCCACACGUGCACACGGAGAACGGUUUAAUCUACACACCGACAGUCGUCAUCGUCAACGUCUCGAGAAAUUUCACCGAUACAUAC